GCAGCUACUGUAUGAUGUCAUAGCAAUGACGUCACACUCAAGCCAAUCAGCCUUGAGGAGGAUAGACUCGUCGGACUGUAGCGGUUGUAAACAACUUGUCGCCCCGUGUGUCUGCCCGUGGCGCUAGUUAUCUGUCGAAGUUACCACUGACAAUGCCCAAAACAAGAACAACAAAGGCCCAAAGGUGGCUGUUUGGUAGUGCGCAAAGCUGCUGGUGGUGGUGGACGUCUCUGCCCUGACGCGCGGCGUGCGUCUGCUCAGUGUGGAGGUGCCGCUGACAGCGGUGCCGGCCGGACCGGCUGCCUCUCCGGCGGCCGACAUUGAGCGCGGCACGUGUCCGCCGCCGUUCGGGCCGCUGCAGCUGCUGCAGUCGGCGGCGCAGCUGUCCGUCUCCGUGUCGCUGGCCGUGCCGCUGGACCUGCUGCCGCGGCCGGCGCCGGCGCGCUGCGCCUACGGCCGCCUGCUGGCCGUCGUCUCGCAGCGCGGCCUGCAGCGCAGCGGCGUGCUGCAGCUCAUCCAGCAGCUC